UUAACACACAGCAAGUCCAGGCCUUGUUCUGACACAUUGAGAGGACUGGCUGUCAAAGACUUCUGAGAAGAGCUUUAGAAAGAACCGUCAGUCAGCAUGACAGAGGCCAAUGAAGAUGCUACAGCAAACUGCAAGACACAAUACUAUGGGAAGAUAACAGCAAGGACAAAGGGCAAAGGGAACAAGAGACGCUCUGUGAAAAUAAUAUUAACUGUUGGGCGCGAAAUUAAAAGGACAUAGCCAAGGCAGCGAACAUCAAUCACAGCUAGCAAAAGAAAAAGAGCAACAGUGGAGAAAAAUCCCCCUCAACCAAAUGAAAAGAAGAGCUAUGGAGUGAGAAACAAUGCCAAACAGGCCCUCCCAGCCCAAUAGCCACGUUGCUCAGCAACCCACCGGCUUAACCCUAACCUAAUCACAGGGCAAUCUACAUUGACCAAUUAACCUACGAACCCAUACAUCUUUGGACUGUGGGAGAAAACUGGGGCACCAGGAGGAAACCCACGCAGUCAAGGGGAGAAUGUACAAACUCCUUACAGAAGGCACUGGAUUUGAACUCCGUACUCCGAGCUGUAAUAGUGCUGCAAUAACCGCAAUGCUAUCGUGGCUCCUCUUCACCACUACCAGGUCACAUCAGGCGAAAUAAACUCCAAGCACUGGGUACUACUCCGCAUGGCUCCUUCCUGUGAGGUCCUGGGGACAAUCUGUUUGUUGCAGUGGGAAAAAAGCUAUAAAGCACUGAUCGGUGAGAAUGUAGCCCAGGGAUCGUGAAGCAGAGACUGGUAAAAUUAUUUGCUAAUAUGAAGAAAUAAUAGGAACGAUUUUGUUUAGCUGUAUACAUGUGUAUAGUUGAAUGACUAUGAACUUGAACUCGAUUCCACUUGCCAGAGGAUAUUCACUGAGUUAAGAGUGGAGCAGAAGACUGGGCCAAAUCAUGACCUCCGGUGCUGUCCAUGGCCAUGACAUGAUGGGCCAAAUGACAACCUUCAAAUGACAAUCUUCAAACAACUUCCCACUUGCAGAUUUUAUUGGGAUUUUACCAGGAGGGAAGCAGCAAUGAGAUGUUGUCAGAACACAACUCGGGAGUUCUUCCACCAUGAAACAGUAAACCCAACUUUAUAGCUCCAGUUUAAUUUGCACUUGGAGUGCCACAUCUAUGUAAUAAAUUCAUCUGUUCACAGCACAUAGAAAUCAUGUUGUAGCUUUCGACCCAGGACCAGUAGCUGGCUCCCAGAUACUGGGUUAUUUAAGCAGCACUAACGCUUGGCAUUACAUGUAAUGUUAUUGUCAACUAAUUCUGAGUUUAUGCAUCAACUCACAAUGUUCCCCAGAUUCUUGUUCUUUAACACAAUGACUCACAAGGUGAUAGUAGAUUUAAAAGUCAGCAAGUGUCUCCAUUAAGAUUGCCAGUGUGCAUACCACAUAAUAAAAGAAAAAAAAGAAUUUUUACAACCACUACAGAUUACACAUGACAUGCAUAACACAUCCUAAACAUUUAUCAGUAACUAAUUACAAUUAGCUCCUGGUGAACUUGCACUAAUCAUGUCAUGGUUGUUAACCACUGAUGAAAAUAAUUCAUUGAGGUGUUGCAAUGAGAGAAAGCAUAUAAUAAGUGUGUGUCUUACCACUGUUAGAAACAAAUUAAAGUGGUGAAGCACUUGCAAUGAAAUCAGAAACAAUAAGGAUCGGGAGAUGAGUCACUGAAGGAAUUCAUUUUGAUACCCUAGGGUUUUCAUAUAAUUUACACAAAAGUAAGUACAUUAAGCUAACAACACACACAAAACGCUGGUGGAACACAGCAG